CCUACGGGCGGCAGCAGUGAGGAAUAUUGGUCAAUGGGCGCGAGCCUGAACCAGCCAAGCAGCGUGAAGGAUGACGGCCCUACGGGUUGUAAACUGCUUUUAUAAGGGAGUAAAGUGAGACACGUGUGCCUUUUUGUAUGUACUUUAUGAAUAAGGAUCGGCUAACUCCGUGCCAGCAGCCGCGGUAAUACGGAGGAUCCGAGCGUUAUCCGGAUUUAUUGGGUUUAAAGGGAGCGUAGAUGGGUUGUUAAGUCAGUGGUGAAAGGUUGCGGCUCAACCGCAAAAUUGCCAUUGAUACUGGCAGCCUUGAGUACAGUUGAGGUAGGCGGAAUGCGUGGUGUAGCGGUGAAAUGCUUAGAGAUCACGAAGAACUCCGAUUGCGAAGGCAGCUUACUAAACUGCCACUGACAUUGAUGCUCGAAAGCGUGGGUAGCAAACAGGAUUAGAUACCCCAGUAGUC
rnacentral:rRNA from 1 species